rnacentral:rRNA from 1 species
CGUAAGCCCAAGGUUUCCUGUUCAACGUUCAUCGGAGCAGGGUGAGUCGGCCCCUAAGGCGAGGCAGAGAUGCGUAGCUGAUGGGAAGCAGGUUAAUAUUCCUGCACCGUCGUAUGAUGCGAUGGGGGGACGGAUCGCGGAAGGUUGUCYRACUGUUGGAAUAGUYRGUUUYUGMYUCAUAGAAGGCRCUUAGGCAAAUCCGGGUGCGSAAUUCAAGGGRKUGRGACGAGUGCACUUGUGCACGAAGCAAUCGGAAGUGGUUCCAAGAAAAGCCUCUAAGCUUCAGUCAUACGAGACCGUACCGCAAACCGACACAGGUGGGCGAGAUGAGUAUUCUAAGGCGCUUGAGAGAACUCGGGAGAAGGAACUCGGCAAAUUGGUACCGUAACUUCGGG